GUGGGGAAUCUUGCACAAUGGGCGAAAGCCUGAUGCAGCGACGCCGCGUGAGGGAUGACGGCCUUCGGGUUGUAAACCUCUUUCAGCACCGACGAAGCGAAAGUGACGGUAGGUGCAGAAGAAGGACCGGCCAACUACGUGCCAGCAGCCGCGGUAAUACGUAGGGUCCAAGCGUUGUCCGGAAUUAUUGGGCGUAAAGAGCUCGUAGGCGGUUUGUCGCGUCGGCUGUGAAAACAUGGGGCUCAACCCUGUGCCUGCAGCCGAUACGGGCAAACUAGAAUUCGGUAGGGGAGACUGGAAUUCCUGGUGUAGCGGUGAAAUGCGCAGAUAUCAGGAGGAACACCGGUGGCGAAGGCGGGUCUCUGGGCCGAUAUUGACGCUGAGGAGCGAAAGCGUGGGGAGCGAACAGG
rnacentral:rRNA from 1 species